rnacentral:rRNA from 1 species
UCGAUUGAGUUUGAUCAUGGCUCAGGACGAACGCUGGCGGCGUGCUUAACACAUGCAAGUCGAGCGGAAAGGCCCUUUUGGGGGUACUCGAGCGGCGAACGGGUGAGUAACACGUGAGUAAUCUGCCCUUCACUCUGGGAUAACUGCCUGAAAGGGUGGCUAAUACCGGAUAUUCUCUGCGCAUCGCAUGGUGUGUGGUGGGAAGAUUUUUUGGUGGGGGAUGUGCUCGCGGCCUAUCAGCUUGUUGGUGGGGUAAUGGCCUACCAAGGCUUUGACGGGUAGCCGGCCUGAGAGGGUGACCGGCCACACUGGGACUGAGACACGGCCCAGACUCCUACGGGAGGCAGCAGUGGGGAAUAUUGGACAAUGGGCGGAAGCCUGAUCCAGCAACGCCGCGUGAGGGAUGACGGCCUUCGGGUUGUAAACCUCUUUCAGCACAGACGAAGCGCCCUGUCGGGUGGUGACGGUAUGUGCAGAAGAAGCACCGGCCAACUACGUGCCAGCAGCCGCGGUAAUACGUAGGGUGCGAGCGUUGUCCGGAAUUAUUGGGCGUAAAGGGCUCGUAGGCGGUUUGUCGCGUCGGGAGUGAAAUCCACUGGCUUAACUGGUGGCUUGCUUUCGAUACGGGCAGACUGGAGGUAUGCAGGGGAGAACGGAAUUCCUGGUGUAGCGGUGAAAUGCGCA